rnacentral:rRNA from 1 species
AACGAACGCUGGCGGCGUGCCUAACACAUGCAAGUCGAGCGCGAAAGGAGCAAUCCGAGUAGAGCGGCGCACGGGUGCGUAACACGUGGAUAAUCUGCCUCAGGGUUGAGGAUAACCUUCCGAAAGGUUGGCUAAUACUCGGUAAGCUUACGGUGACUUCGGUCGCUGUGAGAAAACUAGACCUCUAUUUAUAAGUUUAGGCCCAGAGAUGAGUCCGCGGCCCAUCAGCUAGUUGGCGGGGUAACGGCCCACCAAGGCUACGACGGGUAGCUGGUCUGAGAGAACGAUCAGCCACACUGGAACUGAGACACGGUCCAGACUCCUACGGGAGGCAGCAGUGGGGAAUUUUCCACAAUGGGCGAAAGCCUGAUGGAGCAACGCCGCGUGUGUGAUGAAGGUCUUCGGAUCGUAAAGCACUUUCGACUGGGACGAAAAACCUUUGGCUAACAUCCAGGGGCCUGACGGUACCAGGAGAAGAAGCACCGGCUAACUCUGUGCCAGCAGCCGCUCGUAAUAC